rnacentral:snRNA from 1 species
GGAUUGUGAGGGCGAUCUGGCUGAGACGUGUCACCCCACUGAUUACCAGGGUUGUCUGAUGUGGCUAUCAAGGCGAGUGUCCCCUUUCCUCCCUCACUGCUCCAGGUGCAUCUCUCACAAAGCUAUGUGCUCAGUCGAAGAGGAUGACCACGCCCGAUAGAGGAGGACCCUUGCUCAGUAAAGUGUGUUCCCAUCAGAACUUCUCAAGAAGCUCUCAAGAAUGUCAGGUGUGGUGGCACACGCCUCUAAUCCCAGCACCUGGGAGGCUGAGGCAGGAG